GACGAACGCUGGCGGCGUGCUUAACACAUGCAAGUCGAACGGAAAGGCCCUUCGGGGUACUCGAGUGGCGAACGGGUGAGUAACACGUGGGUGAUCUGCCCUGCACUUUGGGAUAAGCCUGGGAAACUGGGUCUAAUACCGAAUAGGACCACGCGCUUCAUGGUGUGUGGUGGAAAGCUUUUGCGGUGUGGGAUGGGCCCGCGGCCUAUCAGCUUGUUGGUGGGGUAAUGGCCUACCAAGGCGACGACGGGUAGCCGGCCUGAGAGGGUGACCGGCCACACUGGGACUGAGAUACGGCCCAGACUCCUACGGGAGGCAGCAGUGGGGAAUAUUGCACAAUGGGCGGAAGCCUGAUGCAGCGACGCCGCGUGAGGGAUGACGGCCUUCGGGUUGUAAACCUCUUUCAAUAGGGACGAGGCGCAAGUGACGGUACCUAUAGAAGAAGCACCGGCCAACUACGUG
rnacentral:rRNA from 1 species